rnacentral:lncRNA from 1 species
GUCUCUCUCUUUUCCGCCAAUACGCGCUUCCACCUAAAGGAUAUUGAUCAAUUCUCGUAAAAAUAAUCUCUGUACCGCUGUUUAAAAAAAAGUUCAAUCCUUUCAAUUACUGUAUCCGAUAUACGUAUAAAACACCGGUUUCGUUCACUGAUAAAAAAUAUUUAUUGUUGAUGCGUGUUUACGCCGCGAGAAUUUUUUUUUUUUUUUUUAUGCUAUUUUCUAUUAAUUCUCGAAUGAAAAUUUCGAUGUUCUUAUUGUUUUUUUUUUUUUUUUUACCUACGACGACGUUCCGUACAAUCCGCCGUCGAGUAUAUUACGUUCGUUUUUUUUUUUUUUUUUUUUUAAACACGGUGACAGGAACGUCAACACGCUUGUUGUGGAAUCGUAUAUUGGUGGAAAAAGGGUAUGGUACAUUUUUAUUGAAAAUAAUGACGCUCGUUUUUUUUCAUGGAUCAAGUAACUAGUGAAUUGCGUUUUGUAAAUCUGUACGUCCGUCGGACAUCUGUUAAGCAAAACGAGGUAUUCGAGAAGAAAUUAAUUUAAUUUAAUUUUAGAUUCCGAGCGUAGCGAAAGAGCCGUUGGUUUACUAAGAUGUUUAUUUCUUUUGUUUUUUUUCCUUUGUUCUAGUCUGGGAACACGUUUAUUAUUAGUAAAUCUUGAUUUUUACGUGUAGCAACUUUUCUGAAAGCUCGAGUGGCCUAGAUGGUACAUUAAAUACGUCAUUUUUUGAUUUUCAGUUUUUAAAUAAAAUUUGAUAAAAUGUAUUAAUCGAAAAAUUACACGAUACCUUUUUUGGUUGCCUUUUUGAUUUACUUUCUUACGGUAUCAUUGCCAAAACUUUUGGGCUUUUAAGGAUUUUCGGAAGUCUUUUUACUGUAAUUUGGUUAUAAAUAUAGGUAGAGACUUGAAAAUUGGUAAUAACACUUAUAUUGGACUAACUUAGACGUGGUGAAAUUUCCAAAAUCAUCGAACGACUUUUUUUUUUAAUAAGCGUUUUGAAAUCAAAUUUAAACGAAAAUAGCAAAAUAAAUUACGGCACUUCAAAUUGCGCUCGAAAUCGUCUUUCGUCAAGCAAUGGUUUAUCGUUGCUUAUGGAUAUAAAUGCAACAACUUUAUGCAUCUUACCUUCUCAACUUCUCACCUACAACCGUAGCCACUCCCAUCUUCAGUAUCAGCUCUUUUUUUUUCUCACUAAGCAAUAAAGGCUUCAACAUCUUGGUCAUUAGCUUGUGUUUACAAUGUUUACAUUAUAAUAGUAUUCAGUUUUAAAUAUAACUUAAUUAUAAGACAUCUAUUUAAUUGUGCUGUUUUGUAACGGAAUAUAAAUAAAACGUAUAAAGUCAUAUUGUUCAUAAUGUCUCCCACGUAAUAAAUUGAGAAAUAAUUUUUGUUUUUUCCCAAAUAUCACUCUUUGCUAAUCAGAUGUCUACUGAGUAAUAUUCACUCAAAGCGUCGCAAUCAACUAAUUAUUGUGUCAAUGGUUUUUUUUUUUUUUUUUUUUAUCGAUAAUUAUACCUCAUAUGCAGAACAAUUAAUUAUAAUUAUAAUAUAUUUCUCUACAUAGAAUUUAAGUAUGCUGAACAAAUUUUGAGACAUCUCGAGAAGCUGAGCUGGGUCAGUCGAAGGUCAGUUUUCCUCCCGUACGACUGAUAAAAAAAAAAAAUCAUAGAACAUAACUUCACAUAAUCUAUUAUUAUAUUUGGCCUUUCAAUCAAUUUAAUUCACCCCUUGUAUUUUUGCUUUUCUGUUAUCGCCGCAGGAGUAUACAUUUUCGAGUACCCGUUUAUAUAUUACUCUUAUCGCGACGAAAACAAACUGAAUACAUUAUAAUGCAAUGCACAAAAUAAUAAUAUUUUAAUUGUGUCAUCUUGCACAACCCGACGUCCUAUAACUGCAGUACGCGCCGCGAAAAAACGCGCUAGACGCUACAGCGCGACACGUGACUGCAGUUUCUCUUUAAUAGUCCGUAAAUUGAUACGCGCCAAAUUGAAAACAGUUCGUAGUAACUCGUAUUUGUGCAUGCGGUAACGGGCAGCCGUAAAGGAGUAAAUAUUUUUCAGGCCCGCUGGCUUUUAAAAAAUCCGCCACGUGGCACGCUGUAUUCGAGCGCACGUUUUCGUGACGUGUACUGUAUAUUUUAUGUACCUAAUACAAUAACAUUAUAUUAUUAUGUAACGUAUAAAUUGUAUUAUAAAUUAUAAUGCAAAGAUAAGCAUUUCUAUUGAAUGUACUAUACGAAUAAUUAUUGUAAUACGAUGUAAUGAUAUAAAUAUUAAUAUAAUCCUUAAUAAUAAAGCAAGACACAAGAUACGAGUACAUAAGACGAUUUUUGUCAAUUAUUAAUAAAACGAAAUAUUAUAAUAUGAUGUAUAUUUGAAAUAAAACCAUUGG